rnacentral:sRNA from 1 species
GAAGGAAGGAUCUAGAAGAAGCAUCGGUCACUGCUUUGAUUAUAAAGGUUGUUUCAGUUGAUCUGACUGGUUAGAGUGAAACCAGUUCCUGCUUCACAGUUUCUUAGGCUUUCCUCUUAACAUUGCAAACUUGGGCAAAAAGAUGACUUUCCCCAGGGGGAAGAAAGAGCCCUCAGGAAAAUUUAUCAGCAUUAGCUAGAGCAAAUCUAACAUUCACAACUUGGUCUUUGGCCACAACUGAGAUUUAAAUGACAUAAAAAGCAGGGAUGAGACUGACUAGAUCCUGAUCUGAUGUUCCUUAAUUU